GAAGCAUGAUAAGCUUAUAUAGUAUGAGGGGGAAAUGGGCAGCCAUGCUUUCCACUCCCACAACCCUCACAGUGCAAUGAGGGGUAUUUGUUUCUGCUCUCUGUAUAUAUAAAAAAAAAUGCAACAUCAAAGAAGCGAUGAUUUGAAAGGAGAAUGACUUGUACUACUCUUUCUAUUCUAGGUGUGUGCAUGUGUGUGUGUGUGUGUGUUUGGGAAAGGAACAAAGCACCUCAGCUACUACGUAAGUAAGGUGGAUUUCAAAAGAGAAGCUGAAAUGGAAGAGGAAGGGCUGUGGAGCUGCAUGGCGACGGGGGACAGGCUGCAGUGCUCAUGCAUGGAUGUGUACCUUCACCAGUUACCGAGGGGAGGAGCCUCUGCCGACAGCGCUUGAGUGUUUCUACAUGUGACUGGCCUGCCUGGAACAUUACUGCCACCCGACUGUAGUGGAGAGAGUGCCAGCAGCAGGAGUGACCGUUCCUCGCCUUGUUUACGUCAGUGUGUGAACAGAGGAAUGUUCAAGCUGUGAACUAUUUACAAAACAGCUCUUUAGUUACUUUCCCGAUGACCUGCUAACACAGUUGUUGCAGGCCUCUCUGCUGUCAGCUGAGAUUCACUCAGUUCAGAUAAAUGACCCGAUCAUUUUCUUUACUGCACCUAAAAUGUCCAUAUUUAUGUAUGAUUUGUAAAUGAAACAAUGUCUAGUUAUAUUUACAUUUAAACUAUACCUGCCUUUGCAUAACCAUUUAUAUAGCAUUUACAUGUUACUCAUUGUUUUCUAAAUGAAUAAACACAGUUGCAUUGAA